GAUGAACGCUGGCGGCGUGCCUAAUACAUGCAAGUCGAGCGAACGGACGAGAAGCUUGCUUCUCUGAUGUUAGCGGCGGACGGGUGAGUAACACGUGGAUAACCUACCUAUAAGACUGGGAUAACUUCGGGAAACCGGAGCUAAUACCGGAUAAUAUUUUGAACCGCAUGGUUCAAAAGUGAAAGACGGUCUUGCUGUCACUUAUAGAUGGAUCCGCGCUGCAUUAGCUAGUUGGUAAGGUAACGGCUUACCAAGGCAACGAUGCAUAGCCGACCUGAGAGUGUGAUCGGCCACACUGGAACUGAGACACGGUCCAGACUCCUACGGGAGGCAGUAGUAGGGAAUCUUCCGCAAUGGGCGAAAGCCUGACGGAGCAACGCCGCGUGAGUGAUGAAGGUCUUCGGAUCGUAAAACUCUGUUAUUAGGGAAGAACAUAUGUGUAAGUAACUGUGCACAUCUUGACGGUACCUAAUCAGAAAGCCACGGCUAACUACGUGCCAGCAGCCGCGGUAAUACGUAGGUGGCAAGCGUUAUCCGGAAUUAUUGGGCGUAAAGCGCGCGUAGGCGGUUUUUUAAGUCUGAUGUGAAAGCCCACGGCUCAACCGUGGAGGGUCAUUGGAAACUGGAAAACUUGAGUGCAGAAGAGGAAAGUGGAAUUCCAUGUGUAGCGGUGAAAUGCGCAGAGAUAUGGAGGAACACCAGUGGCGAAGGCGACUUUCUGGUCUGUAACUGACGCUGAUGUGCGAAAGCGUGGGGAUCAAACAGGAUUAGAUACCCUGGUAGUCCACGCCGUAAACGAUGAGUGCUAAGUGUUAGGGGGUUUCCUCCCCUUAGUGCUGCAGCUAACGCAUUAAGCACUCCGCCUGGGGAGUACGACCGCAAGGUUGAAACUCAAAGGAAUUGACGGGGACCCGCACAAGCGGUGGAGCAUGUGGUUUAAUUCGAAGCAACGCGAAGAACCUUACCAAAUCUUGACAUCCUUUGACAACUCUAGAGAUAGAGCCUUCCCCUUCGGGGGACAAAGUGACAGGUGGUGCAUGGUUGUCGUCAGCUCGUGUCGUGAGAUGUUGGGUUAAGUCCCGCAACGAGCGCAACCCUUAAGCUUAGUUGCCAUCAUUAAGUUGGGCACUCUAAGUUGACUGCCGGUGACAAACCGGAGGAAGGUGGGGAUGACGUCAAAUCAUCAUGCCCCUUAUGAUUUGGGCUACACACGUGCUACAAUGGACAAUACAAAGGGCAGCGAAACCGCGAGGUCAAGCAAAUCCCAUAAAGUUGUUCUCAGUUCGGAUUGUAGUCUGCAACUCGACUACAUGAAGCUGGAAUCGCUAGUAAUCGUAGAUCAGCAUGCUACGGUGAAUACGUUCCCGGGUCU
rnacentral:rRNA from 1 species